rnacentral:rRNA from 2 species
GGCUCAGAUUGAACGCUGGCGGCAGGCCUAACACAUGCAAGUCGAACGGUAGCACAGAGGAGCUUGCUCCUUGGGUGACGAGUGGCGGACGGGUGAGUAAUGUCUGGGAAACUGCCCGAUGGAGGGGGAUAACUACUGGAAACGGUAGCUAAUACCGCAUAACGUCGCAAGACCAAAGAGGGGGACCUUCGGGCCUCUUGCCAUCGGAUGUGCCCAGAUGGGAUUAGCUAGUAGGUGGGGUAACGGCUCACCUAGGCGACGAUCCCUAGCUGGUCUGAGAGGAUGACCAGCCACACUGGAACUGAGACACGGUCCAGACUCCUACGGGAGGCAGCAGUGGGGAAUAUUGCACAAUGGGCGCAAGCCUGAUGCAGCCAUGCCGCGUGUAUGAAGAAGGCCUUCGGGUUG